rnacentral:rRNA from 1 species
UACGUAGGGUGCAGGCGUUAAUCGGAAUUACUGGGCGUAAAGCGUGCGCAGGCGGCUCCUUAAGUCAGAUGUGAAAUCCCCGGGCUUAACCUGGGAACUGCGUUUGAAACUGGGGAGCUAGAGUGUGGCAGAGGGGGGUGGAAUUCCACGUGUAGCAGUGAAAUGCGUAGAGAUGUGGAGGAACACCGAUGGCGAAGGCAGCCCCCUGGGCUAACACUGACGCUCAUGCACGAAAGCGUGGGUAGCAAACAGG